CAACUUUCAGCAGUGGAUGUCUAGGCUCGCACAUCGAUGAAGAACGCUGCGAAACUGCGAUACGUAAUGCGAAUUGCAGGAUUCAGUGAGUCAUCGAAAUUUUGAACGCAUAUUGCACUUUCGGGUUAUGCCGGAAGUAUGUCUGUAUCAGUGUCCGUA
rnacentral:rRNA from 1 species